rnacentral:lncRNA from 1 species
GCGCCGGCAGGGACAGAGAGCGCUGCUACCCGCGCCUGCCGGGAGAGAGAGCUCAGCGCCGCCUGGGAUAUGAAGCCAGCACAGGCGCGUUUAACAGCUUCGCUUCUCUUCCGGCUGGUUUUAGGCACGAAACGCCUUCGGCAAAUUGUGCAGAGGCGGCUGGCACCGGGACCCCGCUGUCACGUUUGUGGCAAAACAUAGUCCUGGUAGUUCAAAGUAGCCAAAAAAAAAAAAAAAAAAAAGAAAAAUUAAAUCAAGGAAAACCCACCUGUUGAGUUAUUCAAGAUGAGAGCAUAGAAACUGUUGUAUAGUUCUUAUGGAUGGAUACUGCUGAAAUACUGAUGGAUGGAAUACUGAUGGAUACAUCUGAAAUUAGAUACUGUUUCAACAAUGAUCUCCACAAAUGAAAACCACAGUUGCUGGCAGCUAAUGGGACUGCUUUUUGCGUGUGCUGGAAGGACAGCAGCAUGAUGGGAAGGCUUCCACAUGAGCCUUCACUCCCCUACUGUGUACAUCUCCAAAAGCUGGAACAGGUACCAAAAAGCACUGCUGGCCUAGCUCCCGCAUGUUUACCUCACUGUAAAAUACGAGCAGUUGUUUGCAGGCUUUCCUGCGGCCACCAGAGCUCCUGCAUGUGCCCUCUGUUUGGGAAGCUGGCAUUUGCAGUGCUGAGGUCAGUGUGGGUACCUGACAGGCUGGGUAACCUCAGAGAAAUGUCUAGCCGGUGUGGGAAAUGCGUGUCACAAAAUAUCAGAAUGUCCUGCAGUGAUUUACAGCUUUAUGACGGAUGUGUCAUCAUUUUAAAAGACAAAUUUUCAGAAAUUAGGUGGUAUUAGAGCACACGGUCAAUCAGGUUGUAAAUUCAGGUGGGGGUUCCUCUUACUGCAAUGAACACUGGAAUAUAACAUUUCUCCUUAGGUAUACACAGCAGUAGGCAUAUUCAGUGCCAUGGGCGCCACCAUAGCUCAGCUUUCUAAAAUGCAAUGUAAAUAAACAAAACAGACAAUGCCCAUCACAUCAGGGUGUCUGACUAUGUGGGCAUGUACCUGAAGAGAGACAGGGUAGGAUUUUCAGAGUGCUGGAUGACCACAACUCUAGGUCACUGAGCGGGAUGCAAAUGCAAGACAACAAUCCAAACUGGGGAACGUGAAGCUGGGUGCUGUUCAUUCAGAUGUGCUAGGAAUAAUUAACCUUGUGAAGAGAUCUAUACACGAUGAAAACUAACCUCCCGGACCAGAACUUUGUCCAGCUGAUGGUUUCCUUUAUUGUCAGCGCCAAAAUGAAGUCUUUGUAGAACAAAAAUGAAAACUGAAGAAUUUCCAUUGUAAAUCACCAUGGUUGUUCCUUCUCUUUUUUCAUUAUCUGAAAUUAAAAAGCUAAAAACAUUCCUCUAC